AUACGGAGGAUCCGAGCGUUAUCCGGAUUUAUUGGGUUUAAAGGGUGCGCAGGCGGGAGAUUAAGUCGGCGGUGAAAUUUUGCAGCCCAACUGUAAAAGUGCCUUCGAAACUGGUUUCCUUGAGUGUAGAUGAAGUAGGCGGAAUUUGGGGUGUAGCGGUGAAAUGCAUAGAUAUCACGAGGAAAUCCGAUUGCGCAGGCAGCUUACUAAACUACUACUGACGCUCAGGCACGAAGGCGUGGGGAUCAAACAGGAUUAGAUACCCUGGUAGUCCACGCUGUAAACUAUGAUAACUAUCUUUUAGCGAUACACAGUUAGAGGGUACGAGAAAUCAUUAAGUUAUCCACCUGGGGAUUACGUUCGCAAGAAUGAAACUCAAAGGAAUUGCCGGGG
rnacentral:rRNA from 1 species